rnacentral:rRNA from 1 species
CCUACGGGAGGCUGCAGUGAGGAAUAUUGGUCAAUGGACGCAAGCCUGAACCAGCCAUGCCGCGUGCAGGAAGACGGCUCUAUGAGUUGUAAACUGCUUUUGUACGAGGGUAAACGCAGAUACGCGUAUCUGUCUGAAAGUAUCGUACGAAUAAGGAUCGGCUAACUCCGUGCCAGCAGCCGCGGUAAUACGGAGGAUUCAAGCGUUAUCCGGAUUUAUUGGGUUUAAAGGGUGCGUAGGCGGUCGGUUAAGUUAGAGGUGAAAUCCCGAGGCUCAACCUCGGAAUUGCCUUUGAUACUGGUCGGCUAGAGUGUAGUUGCGGUAGGCGGAAUGUGUGGUGUAGCGGUGAAAUGCUUAGAGAUCAUACAGAACACCGAUUGCGAAGGCAGCGUACCAAGCUACUUCUGACGUUGAGGCACGAAAGCGUGGGGAGCAAACAGGAUUAGAUACCCGGGUAGUC